rnacentral:rRNA from 1 species
GACGAACGCUGGCGGCGUGCUUAACACAUGCAAGUCGAGCGGAGCGGCGAACGGGUGAGUAACGCGUGAGUAACUGCCCUCCUCUCUGGGAUAACAGUUGGAAACGGCUGCCAAUACCGGAUAGUGGGGGAUGACUCGCGUCCUAUCAGCUUGUUGGUGGGGUAGUGGCCUACCAAGGCGACGACGGGUAGCCGGCCUGAGAGGGCGACCGGCAACAUUGGGCAGGAUUACUGCCGAAACUGCUAGGGGAGGCAGAAGUGGGGAAUAUUGCACAAUGGGGGAAACCCUGAUGCAGCAACGCCGCGUGCGGGAUGACGGCCUUCGGGUUGAAAACCGCUUUCAGCCAUGACGCGGUAGUAACAGAAGAAGCACCGGCUAACUACGUGCCAGCAGCCGCGGUAAUAC